CAUACGUUGGCCCUACGUUGGCAAAACGUUGUGAGCCAACGCCGCAUAUCGUUGGCCUGACGGUGUGAGCCAACGCUGGCCCUACGACAUUUUGGCCGCUGGCCUAACGUUGGCACAUCGUUGGCAUAGCGACGUAACCGCGUCAUUUCGGCCGUAGGGCCACCGUUUGACCAACGUGCAUUAUCCCCAGAUGGCCACCGUUGGCUUAUAGCCAAUUGCCAACUUAUAAUUAAGGUAGCCAAAUUUUAUUAAUUUGCCUUUACCAAAUAAUUUGAAUUUCCUUUUAAUUAAAACUAGCAACAAGAGUUUUGAGUUCAAAAACCAUUCAAACAUCAUGGAAUUAAACCGGAAAGUGUUAACAUUUAUUAAAUACUUAUUAAAUACUUGUAAUGAUAAUGAUAAUAAUAAUAAGAAGAAGAAGAUGAAGAAUAAAUUAAUUAAAAAUGAUAAUAAUAAUAAUAAGAAGAUGAAGAAUAAAUUAAUUAAAAAUGAAUUAAAAUCCGAGUCGGUGUGCAGGCGGAAGGCGGGUCACUCCAGGCUGCUGCAGUCGUCGUCACUGUCGCUGCUAGUUGUAUCAUGAUCCAGGAUGACCGGGGAAGGACUCGGAGGAGGAAGACUGAACUGCUGGGGACCUGGAAUGUAGAAGAUCAUCGUUAAGCGUACAAUUUGGUGACAUGGGUUAAGCUCCAUGAAACUGUAAAAGGUUCAGCACAUCCCUCUUGCCCCUCAAACGCUUCAAGAGAAAGAGCAAUUGAAUUUCAGCACGAAGUGGUUGGUGAGGAUGUGGCGAAGGAUUCUUCGAACCGCGUCGCCAGGAUUGCAGCCCCCAAGCGCACUAAGGUGUGCUGCCUGCAGAAGAUCCUCCACCCUUUGAAGGUCUUCCUCGCAGUUCAUUGGGAACUUAAAUUCCUCAGAUAGAGUGUCUGCUGCUGCUGCUGCUGCUGUCGUUUUUUGCCUAGUAAGGGCCUGGAGGAGGAGGUUGUUCUGCCUCACCAAGGCCUUCAACUCCUCCACAGCACGCAGGAGUGCAUGAUCCCGUUCUACAGGACAGAAAAACAUCAUGACUGUCAUGUCAAGAGGUGCUCCUGGUUUGGGCUUUUUUCUGGUUCAUACGCGCUGCAUCAUAAUUGGCUGUUGAAGACAACAAUGAAGUGAGUAAAGCUUUUAAAGCCUAAGGGGAGAAAAGUGGUACAUCCUACUUUUGUCUGUCUCACCAAAGGUUUUCACCACCUCCACAAAAAACUCCCCAGUUCUCAUCUGGCAUAGCGCUUUGGAUGACUGCAAUUUUCGUCCGCUUGGUGUCUUUAUACGGUGGCCAAAAAGACACCUUGCCGUCCAAACUUAGCCACGAGCAAGGCACAACCUCCACCUCAUUUGACUCGGUUCCCAACCACAGCUGUCCCCAGUGCAGUUGAAUCAACAGGGUGGUUGAAAAAUGGACGUUGGUCUAAAUAUUGCCUCGCCACAAAAGACAUACCACCAAGUGUCCUGCUAAUUGCCUCUAUUUUAAAAGUGGCACCACCACACGAAACUGUGUUGUUCCCAUCCUUUGUGGACAGGGUAAAUCUAUCAGUGGCGUACUGUGUUGUUGAGGGUGAACUUUGGUUAUGGGAAGAUGGACAGACUGGGUUGAUGCUUGAUUUUUCCGUUAAUCGUUUAACAAUUUGUUGUAAUGUCUGGUUUGGCUUUCUAAUUAGUUUCUUUAAUUUAUACAAGAAAUUUUCGAAGGGAAAGGCAGAAAUUUGGGGUAGUGGGCCAUAUUUUCUAACAUCACUUGCCAGGUGGAUCAAGCUGUGGACGUUAUACACCAGAAAGUCCCCAUAGAUGGCGUGAAAAUUCUGAACGAACACUACCAGGAGAUUUUCCGUAUAGUCACAAUAACGGUGGUGGAGACGGGGGGAACAUAAAAUUGUUAUUGCUACGUGGAGUAAAAGAAAAUGUUGAUACAUGUGUUUUGGUAGGUUUUUUUUUUAAUGCAAUGGGGCCAGUGUAUAGUAAAAAAGUCCUAAAUUCAGUGGCCUUCCACCGAUCAACCUCACGGAGGGACCUUCCCUUGCGUCCAAACUCCUUUGGCAGCCUCUUGCCCAAUUUGAUUAAGUUCUCUGAAAUAAUGCAGAUGGAUUGACUCCCAAUGCGGGUUGGAAGGGGCCCUCUCUGCCACAGCCAGAUCAACUUUCUCAUCACUCCUAGGCACACCAGGUGCAUAAAGUCCAGCACAAAUUGGGUCACCAAGCCUACAUCUAGGUGUUGUAAUGGACUGUCGCCCUCUUUGUGAUGUUCCUGGUUGACUUUUGUGGCAAAACUGUCAUCGGUUCUGAGAACCGCAUCUGUUUCGGAGUAAUUUAGGCGUCGGUUUGCCCAUGAGCCCUCUUGCAUGCACCUUUCGCAGCCGUAAUAGGAAUUGUGUGCUUUUAUGUUUUUUAGAAAUGCCCUUGCCGGUGCAUCACAGACAAAACAGGAAAUUUCGAUUUUUUUUUUUUGACUGAUACUCCAAGCCAUCAGAUGCAAGCUUCCCCAUCUCUGCCACAAAGUCAGAGAGGUACUCGCUUGCAUCGGUUGGCUUGGAGUAUCCGCAAUAUAAACCAAUUAGAAAUGGGGAUCUAAUGGGGUCCUCUUCAAUUAGUGCAAGAAUUGGCCAAAAUUGCUGGCUGCUGCUUUUAAAAAGGGCCAGGCCAUCCACAUUUAUUUGUAGUUUUAGUGUUUGGUUUUUAGCUAAGUCCUGUUCUUGCAUUCGGCCCAAGAUCCCUUUUGCCACACCAAAAUAGUGCAUGUUCCCCCCAGCUUUUGGUACUAUCUCCGCAUAAGUAGGGGUUGACAGGAGAGUGCGGCCGUCUUUUGGCAGUUUGGAAUCUGGGAAGUGCUUGCGAAGCACGGAGAGCAGGCUGGAAAUGUGGGAAAUUGGUGUAUUUGUUGUGAUUGCCCAUUCCUUGAGCUCAUGUCUUAAGUCCCUUUGAAAACUGCCCCCCUCCUCUGAAUCUGAGCCACUGCUAGAGCUCGACAAAUCAUUGAACUCCCAGUCAUCCUCGCCAGAGGAGGCGCUCUCCUCUGAUGCCAUUACCCAAUCCCCAUCUCCGCUUUAAAUGAUCGUUUUCUAUUUCUGUGUAAGCUGGGACACUUGGUGGUGUGUCUAAUGUGUCUGCGCCAGCGGCCAGGUUAAAGUAAGUGGGCCCGCUAGCAUGAAGCGCUGCCAACGCAGCAUCCGCUCCUCUUUUAACAUGCCUUCGCAGCGACCUCUUUGAUAAAAUUAUUUUACUCUCUGCCAUUUUUUGUAAUUUUGCUGUCGUAAGAGGUAGGCUAUAAUUGAAUUAUUUUGUAGCGGCUAGACGGUAACCCGGCUGGCGGCUAGCUAGCUGGCUAGCUACAGUUGUUGGCGAAUUUGUUGACAACAUUACGACUAGAUUCGCCAACAUUACGACUAGCGCUAGCAAUUUAGCCGGUACUUUGUCAAACGGGUGGGGUUUGCCUUACCUUGGCUAAGUGAACCGGUUUACUUGUUUCUUUGUUUUGGUAUUGUUUGACGGGUUUACUGGACGAUGUGAAGUUGUCGGCAUCAAAUGUGGUUGUUGGCAGGCAACUGACGGUUAUUUUUCGUUGUUAUAUGGACGCGAGCUUUGUUGACGGUUAUUUUUUGAUGUUAUAUGGUCGCGAGCUUAUUGCUGUUAUUGUUGCAUAUCAUAUCAGUUUGGAACGACGCUGAAGUUGGCAUCCGAUUCGCAGCAUCCGAUUCAGCAGCUGGUCCACUUUAAAUCGGUCCUGAUUGAAAACCACUACACCUAGACUCUUCAAAUCUGGACUAAAUUAUCAUAGUGAGGCUAUACAUUAUAAUAAACAUAGUUACAGAUUUGUGAAACCUUUUUUCUAUUUGUGAAAAUGCAAUACAGGCUCAUUUUAAUGCUUUUUAGGGGUCCAGACUGCAUUAGAACGGGUCCUGAUUGAAAACCACUACACCUAGACUCUUCAAAUCUGGACUCAAUUAUCACAGUGAGGAUAUACAUUAUGUAAAACAUAGUUUCAGAUUUGUGAAACCUUUAACCUAUUUGUGAAAAUGCAAUGUGGUCUGGACCCCUAAAAAGCAUUCAAAUAAGCCUGUAUUGCAUUUUCACAAAUAGGGUAAAGGUUUCACAAAUCUGAAACUAUGUUUUACAUAAUGUAUAGCCUCACUGUGAUAAUGUAGUCCAGAUUUGAAGAGUCUAGGUGUAGUGGUUUUCAAUCAGGACCGAUUUGAAGAUUCUAAGUGGUUUUCAAGCCGAAUCGGAUGCUGUGAAUCGGAUGCCAACUUCAGCGUCGUCAGUUUGGACCCGUUUCUCAAAAAAGAAAACAUGCUACAUCAGGGGUCCUGUACUGAUGAAGCAAUAUUGUAAGCAAAGCAAUAAAGUAGUGUUAUCAGGGUAGCACCAGUGCUAUCUUGUACUCAUUUCCCUAAUAUGUGGUUUAUCCCCCCCUGGUUUAUCUGUCCCUACUCCCCCAAUCCCUUAACCUCCCCAUCUACCAAUACUUUUCAGUUCCCAUCUCUCAGACUUACCUGAUCCUCCAUCCAAACUCUGAUGUUGGAAUCCAUGCUGUCCAGUCCAUGUGAAGAGCACAGGAAGGCUUG
ensembl:lncRNA